GGGUGACUUCCUCUUACUACUA
rnacentral:siRNA from 1 species